AUUUAAUAAAUUACAGCGUACUAUAUAGAAAAGAAACAUGGGUGUAUACAAUAUGUGCAAGCAUAUGAUUGGAUAAAUAGAAGUAGCAUACGACAUUACAUGCAGGAUAUUUUAGUAACACACAGAAGUAACAGUUUUGAUCUGGUAUGUAAUUGUCCUUGAAGAUAAGACACACACAAGCCUUAUAUUAUAUGAACAGACAAAGGCAUCUUGUAGAGAGUGCGUACGUGUCUAUUCAAACACAUAACAAUUCAUAUAGCAUGUUUAACCCUUCAAUCCCCUCUUAGAAUCAUGAUUGUUAUAUAACAUGAUUCUUGAGUGAGGCUCCUUUCUUGUUCCUCCAGUUUUUGAGAUAUUGGACAUAAUCGUCGGGUCCCUUACUAUCAGAGGAGGUGACAGGACUGGUGGUUAUAUCAUAGUACAUCAGGGCCUUAUCAAUGCCUUUGGAGGGGGUACAAAUGAAAAUGCUGUCUGAUACCUCCGCCUUUGAAGAACUUCCCCACGCUGUGAUCUCUGAGAGGCGAUGCACAGUAUCCACUACUCCUUUAGCCCAUGUACAGUUUGCAUGUACCCCCCAGUACUGUGCUUUCCCACUAAAUGGAAAUGAGCUUUGUAUCUGGAAGAUGGGCACCCUCCAAGAACAGCCUCUAACUUUGAAAGGACAUCACCAGCCAAUAACUGCAGUAGCAAUUAAGCAGGAUGGGGGAGAGUGGCUAGUCGUCUCUGCAUCACAAGACUAUGUCAUUAUGUGGAAUCUGAAUGAAUGCACGCGAUCAUCCAUGCAAGGACUUCUGCCUCGAGGACUUGUCAUUGGGACUCUCUUAGGCACUGUUCAACAUUUAGGAUUCCAUCCUGAGAAAAAGUUGGUGACAGCAUGUGUAAUGAGCAGAGUAUUUAUUCUCAAUGCUGAGAGAGAAGAAAUUCUUGCAGACUUAGAAGCACACCUGGGUCCGGUGACUGCAGCUGAGUUUUGGCGCAAUAACCUUCUCGUGUGUAUCUCUGAGGAUAGGACAUUUUCGUUAUGGGAUUAUUGCACAGGACACCUGGUUUACCGAUCUGGAAUAAUAUCAGCAUUCCCUCUGCUGAAGAUGUAUAUCGAUGCAGAAAAUGAGCAGCUGGUUACCGGUUGUGCCGAUGGGCUGAUAAGGUCUUUCAGCUUAGCAAAGGGACACAAUUUUCGAGGUCUCUGUCACAUCAACCUUCAAAAGGAGAAACUCAGAUUCUGCAGGAUUAUUGGAAAAUGCAGGCCCUCUGGUAUAACAGAAAAAAUGAAGUUGCCUGCCGUGGAUAAGAGUCCUUGUGAUGCAGUAGAUUCUGGAUUUCCUAUACUUCAUAUUCAGAAAUAUGAACAGGACAAGCAGGAAUAUGACAUGCCACUCAUGGGAAAUCCUGUACGUCUCUGGGUAGGCAUUUCUACGGAUUUGAUUUUAAUCAAUAUGGCUACGUCGGAAGUUGAAGCUGUUGUCCAUUUUGAAGAUUUUGAAGCCCUCAGUAUUCAUAUGGCUGGAUCAGUCUCAAUUUCUGACAAUUCUGAAAAUAAGGUUUUCUGUUUGAUUGCUUCUGUGUUUGGAAACCAGAUCUCACUUCUAGAGUUACAUACAUGUUCUUUGUGGCAAAUCCAGCAGUGUGCACAGCAGACUUUUGGAUCAAGCUCAAACUUGUCCAUUGUAUCCAGUGAUCCUCUGCUCUCAACGUCUCCCUUAUGUUGUGACCUUUCCACAAAGCCUGCCAAAUUAAAGACAAAUGUGGUACAGAUGAGAGUAAAGGACCAACCACUUGUUUUCAACUCUAAAAUCAAGUCAUCUGGUUAUACUACAGCACCAAGAAUGAAAAUGUUUUCUCCAAAAACCAAUAUAAAGACCAGUCAGCUUUCGAAAACAAAGACUGAAAUGACAAGUGGAGUAAGAAAAGAAUAUCCACCGAAUGCCCCAGCACCCAACAGUCUGCAUAAACAGAUAGCUUUGUCUAACAAACCAACAUCUGCCUGUGGCAUUUAUUAUUCAGGAGAUGGGAUGAAGCUCGCAUGUGGAUUAUCUGACAAGUCAUUAUUGGUAUUUAGUUCCACAUUAAAUGGGGAGCCAGCUGUUUUUACAGGCCACAAUGGGGCAAUUAAUGGCUUGGGCUGGAGUUACGACAGAAAUUGGUUGGUUUCUACCGCUGAUGACAGAGCAAUGAGGAUUUGGAAUGUGAAAAAUGGAGUUUGUGCGCUGGUUCUGGGAAAGGAAGCAUUCUCGAGGCCUGUUCGUUUUCCUCAGUUUUAUUAUUUGGAUAAAUUUAUUUUGUUGUCAUCUGGAGCAGAGAUUCAGGUUAUGAGAUAUUAUCUGGAUGACUGCAAGGAUGACGUAAAAAGGUAUAAACAAAAAAGCAUAUGUAAACCAGUACAGAAGUUGCAGAUGGACUCAGCAAUGGAGAUUACUGGUCUGUCAGCUGUGAAUGAUUUUUAUUCCUAUAUUGUACUUGCAGCAGGAAGUAACCGUGCUGUUGAGGUUUUUGAUCUUAAUGUAGGCUGUAGGGUAGCAGCAAUUCCAGAUGUCCACCCAAGAGCAGCCCACCAAAUCUGCCAAAAUAAGGGCUCUGCAUUUAGCACUCAGACAGCUGAAGCGUACAAUCUCUUUGUGACCACGGCCAUUGGUGAUAGCCUAAAAUUAUGGGAUAUUAGGAUUUUACGGUGUGUUCGUCGUUUUGAAGGUCAUAUAAAUCGUUACCAACCAUGUGGCGUUGCAAUCAGUCCUUGUGGGAGAUUCAUUGCUUGUGGAUCUGAAGAUAGAUGUGCAUAUAUUUAUGAAACACGUUCCAGUACAUAUCUGCAAAAGCUCACAAAACACUCAGAAUCUGUCAUCAAUGUGGCAUUUAAUCCAUCUUCCAUACAGGCAGCACCCCUGAUGUCUUAAGAGAAUCAUAUCAGGACUACACAUUCAGAGUACCUAUACAAUUUGAACUGGUGCAGAAGUUCUCUUCCUUUUGUGCUUCUCAACUAAAAUAUUAACCACUUGUACAUUGGAUGGAAAUCUUCAGAUGUUUGUUCCUUGAAUGGAAAGAUCACUGGCUCAGAUGGGUUUAUAAGCUCAAAAGACUAGUUCCCUAACAUCUCUGUAAAACUGUUAAUAUUGUAAUAAAAAUAUGAACUAUUUGAAAUCUCAA